rnacentral:rRNA from 1 species
AACGCUGGCGGCGUGCCUAAUACAUGCAAGUCGAGCGAAUUGUUGAGUUUACUCAACAAUUAGCGGCGGACGGGUGAGUAACACGUGGGCAACCUGCCUAUAAGACUGGGAUAACUUCGGGAAACCGGAGCUAAUACCGGAUAUGUUCUUCUCUCGCAUGAGAGAAGAUGGAAAGACGGUCUCGGCUGUCACUUAUAGAUGGGCCCGCGGCGCAUUAGCUAGUUGGUGAGGUAAUGGCUCACCAAGGCAACGAUGCGUAGCCGACCUGAGAGGGUGAUCGGCCACACUGGGACUGAGACACGGCCCAGACUCCUACGGGAGGCAGCAGUAGGGAAUCUUCCGCAAUGGACGAAAGUCUGACGGAGCAACGCCGCGUGAACGAUGAAGGCUUUCGGGUCGUAAAGUUCUGUUGUUAGGGAAGAACAAGUACCAGAGUAACUGCUGGUACCUUGACGGUACCUAACCAGAAAGCCACGGCUAACUACGUGCCAGCAGCCGCGGUAAUACGUAGGUGGCAAGCGUUAUCCGGAAUUAUUGGGCGUAAAGCGCGCGCAGGUGGUUCCUUAAGUCUGAUGUGAAAGCCCCCGGCUCAACCGGGGAGGGUCAUUGGAAACUGGGGAACUUGAGUGUAGAAGAGGAAAGUGGAAUUCCACGUGUAGCGGUGAAAUGCGUAGAGAUGUGGAGGAACACCAGUGGCGAAGGCGACUUUCUGGUCUAUAACUGACACUGAGGCGCGAAAGCGUGGGGAGCAAACAGGAUUAGAUACCCUGGUAGUCCACGCCGUAAACGAUGAGUGCUAAGUGUUAGAGGGUUUCCGCCCUUUAGUGCUGCAGCUAACGCAUUAAGCACUCCGCCUGGGGAGUACGGCCGCAAGGCUGAAACUCAAAGGAAUUGACGGGGGCCCGCACAAGCGGUGG